AGGGAGACAUAGUAAGACUCUGUCUCAACAACAAAAAAAGAUGGCUCCUCUGUUUAUAACACACCUAACAGGAAUCUGGGAUCCUUGUGAUAAGGGACACAAAACUUGUGGCCUCUGCAAACAAAUUCUGUACAUCU
rnacentral:snoRNA from 1 species